UAGACGCGAAAAGUGUCAUGACAUGCCGACUUUGUGAAUGACCAAUUUUUGAACGCACCUUGCACCUAUCCAUGGGAUGGGUGUGCUUGUGUGAGUGUGGGACGGAGCUUGGUUAAAGAUUGCCAGAGAUGAGGCGUGCUACAAGAGCUAGCUGCCUUGAAAGACAUGGCGAGCACGUGAUGAGCGCCCUGGGAUACAUCUACAGGCCGCGAGACACGUGUUCGGUAACGAGAGUGUGAGUGAGACGGUAAGAGAGAAUUUUUUCUCCCUUUUUACCGUCUCACACCCGCACCUCUACUUAUUACCCACCUCACAUCAAGCAAGACCACCCGCUGAACUUAA
rnacentral:misc_RNA from 1 species